rnacentral:rRNA from 1 species
AACGAACGCUGGCGGCGCGCCUAAUACAUGCAAGUCGAGCGAGAAGACGUAGCAAUACGUUUGUAAAGCGGCGAACGGGUGAGGAAUACAUGGGUAACCUACCCUCGAGUGGGGAAGUAACUAGCCGAAAGGUUAGCUAAUACCGCGUACGCUCCUUGGACUUCGGUUCAGGGAGGAAAGCGAUACCGUGGGUAUCGCGCUCUUGGAUGGGCUCAUGUCCUAUCAGCUUGUUGGUGAGGUAACGGCUCACCAAGGCUUCGACGGGUAGCUGGUCUGAGAGGACGAUCAGCCACACUGGCACUGCGACACGGGCCAGACUCCUACGGAGGCAGCAGUAAGGAAUAUUGCGCAAUGGGCGAAAGCCUGACGCAGCGACGCCGCGUGGGGGA